UACGUAGGGGGCAAGCGUUGUCCGGAAUUAUUGGGCGUAAAGCGCGCGCAGGCGGUCCUUUAAGUCUGAUGUGAAAGCCCAGGGCUCAACCGUGGAGGGUCAUUGGAAACUGGGGGACUUGAGUGCAGGAGAGAAGAGUGGAAUUCAUGGUGUAGCAGUGAAAUGCGUAGAGAUCAUGAGGAAGACCAGUGGCGAAGGCGGGUCUCUGGACAGUUCCUGACACUGAGACACGAAGGCCAGGGGAGCAAACGGG
rnacentral:rRNA from 1 species